CCUACGGGCGGCUGCAGUGGGGAAUAUUGGGCAAUGGGCGCAAGCCUGACCCAGCAACGCCGCGUGAGGGAAGAAGGCUUUCGGGUUGUAAACCUCUGUCCUUGGUGACGAAAAAAUGACGGUAGCCAAGGAGGAAGCCCCGGCUAACUACGUGCCAGCAGCCGCGGUAAUACGUAGGGGGCGAGCGUGGUACGGAAUUACUGGGCGGAAAGGGUGCGUAGGUGGCCUUUUAAGUUGGAUGUGAAAUACCCGGGCUUAACCUGGGGGGUGCAUCUAAUACUGGGAGGCUAGAGUGCAGGAGAGGAAAGCGGAAUUCCUAGUGUAGCGGUGAAAUGCGUAGAUAUUAGGAGGAACACCAGUGGCGAAGGCGGCUUUCUGGACUGUAACUGACACUGAGGCACGAAAGCGUGGGGAGCAAACAGGAUUAGAUACCCGUGUAGUC
rnacentral:rRNA from 1 species